ensembl:lncRNA
AGCAACAAAAUGAAACAGAACACUGGUGAGAAGGUUCAACCUCUACUGCCAUAUCACCACUUUCUGCCACUGAUGUCAUGGCCCAACAUAAUAAAAUAGGAGGCAUUAUUUUGGUGCGUUCCUUAUUUUAUUCAAGGUCAGCGAUGAGCAACAAUUAGAAAUAAAGCAUAAGCACCUUCACUAGCCUUUAAGGGCUAUUCAGAACAGAACUACCAAAACAGUGUUCAGAAUCUCAAUUUGAAUAUACCAAAGUGACAUUCAUUGUAUCAUGAAAAUCAGUUUUCAAAAAUAAUUCUUUCUACAGUCUUCAAAAUCUUGUAAUUUGGUAUACCCGUACUUGACUAUGUAGUCACUACCUUACACCAAAUAAGAUUAUCUACUCAGACCAGUGUAUGUCAUGAGUUAGCACAGUUUGUGAAAUAUCUUUUCUCUCUAGUUUUCUUCACUGGUAAAUUUUGAAAUUGAAAAAUGGGAAGAAACGUUUCUGAACAUUUUGGGGAAGGACUUCAGAAUAAAUGUUGUCCACUGUUUGCUUCUCGCUUCUCUACUUAUAAAACGUGCAAGGGCUUUCACCCCAGGAAUUUCCUAAAAAUGAUUUGAUGCAAAAUUAUAGUUGUUAUGAGUAAAUGUUGGGGAUAUGUGUAUAUAUAUAUAUAUAUAUAUGUAUAUAUAUAUGAAGGCAUUAAAAACAAACAAACAAACAAACAAAAUGUACUUGGAAUAAAGUACUGAAAGUUGUUCUUUAAAAUUAUAUAUAUAAAUAAUUAUAUAUUAUAUAAUCUCACUUAAUACUAAGUCCAUUGAGUUUCAAAGUAAAUGAAGAAAACUGUAAAUUGCAAAGGCAUUCCUCAUUGUUAUGGAAAUAAAUACCAAUAAAAUUUAGUGAGUCAAAAUAUUAAUGGAAGGAAAAACAGGAAAAACAAAAGUUUCAUCUUUCAUGAAUUGUCUGUACCAUUCUUAUCUGCAAAACUUAGAUGUCAAAAAGCAGAAAUAACAGUAUUUUUUUCCUGCAGACUUCCUGCAAGUGCCUUUCCUGUAAUUUUGAAAAUUAGUUAAAUAUUAAAAUUAUUUCUUUCUUGCGAUGGUGGAAAUGUGUAUUUUAACAGAGAACUUCUGAGACAACUGCUUAAAAUUUCUAUAAUUUGCUAUAAUUUGGCACAAACAAGUACGAAGUUUAAAUGUAUGCUACCAUUAAUCUUUCAUGAGUUAAAGCAUAUAAGGCAAUAUAUAUCAUAGCACAAUAUUAUAGGUAAAAAUAAAUAAGAUGGCCAGUGCCAGGCAUUUCUUAUUCUGUUAAGCUGUUAUUCACUUAAAUGUGUGAAUGUUAAUUAGUCACUCAGUCCAAAGUUUGCACUUUAAUGAACCUGUCAAAUUUAAAUUGGUGUCAUGGCCUCGGCAGAUAGCCUAUAAUAUAUAACACAGCUGAGAUCUUUUCUUAUAGAUAGGUUAACAUUGUAGAAAUAGAAACCCAGUAGACUUGUGUUUUUUGCUGUUAAGAUUUCUGUCUUUUUGGUUUGAAACUAAGGCUCAAACUGUGAAGAUAAGUGGAAAAAGACCAAAAGUGCACAAAAAUUUAACAUGACUAAAAUCUAGUGAAAUGAAAUUAAUUUAAAUAUAUUCAUGACUUUGAUUGUAGGUCAAAUACUUAUCCAUAAAAGCAGUAACUUUUUGCUGGCAAGAUAUAUUGAAACAAUACACUAUCCCCUUGAAAAAAAGGCAAACAAUAGAAAUUAAACACAGAAAAAUAAUAUAAAUGCAACAUUAUUGUGGAGAUUUUACAUUAACAAAAAUAGGAAAACUCAAUUUUGGUUCCCGGAACAACCAUCAUUCAGUAUUACUGCAAAUACACAAAAAUACACUGAGGUUAAUACUGCACAGGAUAUAGCAUAGAAAAACACAGAAAGUGCAAAGCAAUGGAAUUACAAUUGCUGUGGGAAUCAUACUUCAAAUUUAAUGACAUUUGUUUGUGUCAUAUCUCGAUCAUAAUGUUGCAUUAACGUAGUCAUUUGCAUUUAAUUCUAUAUUAUGUUCCCAGUUUAGAAGAACACAUUUGCAGUUUCUCAUGUCUUUGCUUCCAUCAGUGACUGAAAAUUAUAUACUUUCCAAGAUUAUUUUGACGGAAUUAUAUAUAACUUCAUGAUGGAACAUCUUAUUACCCUGGCAAGAGACCUUGAUUCAUGAAGGGGCUUGUGAAAGAGUUAGGUACUGAUAACUACAAGUAUUGUUUUUAAAGAUGGUUUAUUAACUGUGUUAUUAUAUUAUUAUACCUGUACUUUCAUAGAUGAAUAUUCUGUUAUUAGAUAUGUAGUACUUACUCAGCGACUACUACUUCAAUGUAAGUGGUCUAAACUAAUUAAAAAAAUAGAAAUGUAUAAU